CCUACGGGUGGCAGCAGUGAGGAAUAUUUGUCAAUGGGCGCGAGCCUGAACCAGCCAAGUAGCGUGAAGGAUGACUGCCCUACGGGUUGUAAACUUCUUUUAUAAAGGAGUAAAGUGAGGCACGUGUGCCUUUUUGUAUGUACUUUAUGAAUAAGGAUCGGGUAACUCCGUGCCUGCAGCCGCGGUAAUCGGGAGGAGCCGUGCGUUGGCCGGAUUUGUUGGGUUUAAAGGGAGCGUAGAUGGGUUGUUAAGUCAGUUGUGAAAGUUUGCGGCUCAACCGUAAAAUUGCAAUUGAUACUGGCAGCCUUGAGUACAGUUGAGGUAGGCGGAAUUCGUGGUGUAGCGGUGAAAUGCUUAGAUAUCACGAAGAACUCCGAUGGCGAAGGCAGCCUACUAAACUGCCACUGACAUUGAUGCUCGAAAGUGUGGGUAUCAAACAGGAGUAGAUACCCCAGUAGUC
rnacentral:rRNA from 1 species